GAUGAACGCUGGCGGCGUGCCUAAUACAUGCAAGUCGAGCGAACGGACGAGAAGCUUGCUUCUCUGAUGUUAGCGGCGGACGGGUGAGUAACACGUGGAUAACCUACCUAUAAGACUGGGAUAACUUCGGGAAACCGGAGCUAAUACCGGAUGAUAUUUUGAACCGCAUGGUUCAAAAGUGAAAGACGGUCUUGCUGUCACUUAUAGAUGGAUCCGCGCUGCAUUAGCUAGUUGGUAAGGUAACGGCUUACCAAGGCAACGAUGCAUAGCCGACCUGAGAGGGUGAUCGGCCACACUGGAACUGAGACACGGUCCAGACUCCUACGGGAGGCAGCAGUAGGGAAUCUUCCGCAAUGGGCGAAAGCCUGACGGAGCAACGCCGCGUGAGUGAUGAAGGUCUUCGGAUCGUAAAACUCUGUUAUUAGGGAAGAACAUAUGUGUCAGUAACUGUGCACAUCUUGACGGUACCUAAUCAGAAAGCCACGGCUAACUACGUG
rnacentral:rRNA from 1 species